rnacentral:rRNA from 1 species
AGCAGCCGCGGUAAUUCCAGCUCCAAUAGCGUAUAUUAAAGUUGUUGCAGUUAAAAAGCUCGUAGUUGAACCUUAGGCCCGUGCGGGUGGUCCGUCCUCUGGGCGAGCACUGCGUCGUCGCGGGUCUCACCUUCUGGCGAGCGUGGAUGCCAUUCACUUGGUGUCCGCGGGAACCAGGACCUUUACCUUGAAAAAAUUAGAGUGCUCAAAGCGGGCUCGUACGCUUGAAUAUAUUAGCAUGGAAUAAUGAAAUAGGACGACGGUUCUAUUUUGUUGGUUUCCGGGACAGUCGUAAUGAUUAAUAGGGAUAGUUGGGGGCAUUCGUAUUCAAUUGUCAGAGGUGAAAUUCUUGGAUUUAUUGAAGACGAACUACUGCGAAAGCACUUGCCAAGGAUGUUUUCAUUAAUCAAGAACGAAAGUUGGGGGAUCGAAGACGAUCAGAUACCGUCGUAGUCUCAACCAUAAACUAUGCCGACUGGGAAUCGGGCGAUGUUACUCUUUUGACUCGCUCGGCGCCCCGAG